GAGAACUAUGUAAUUAUCUAGCUCCCCGUUUUUUUUUCGUCUCUUUUUUUUGAGCUGUGUUCACAAUGAAGUUAAACCAGUCUGCCCAAUUCACCGUUGUGCUAGAGUAAAUAUUAGUAAAUUACGGAGUUCGGACUGCUAUUGGAAGUGGGAGUGCGAUACGGGACAAGCAAGUUGGUCCCUCAGAUGGAACUCAGAGCAUCUUGCUUUGUUUCUAAGGUGUAUACGUUCGUUGCAAUGCGUGCACCACCGUUGUGCUCGGCGUAUACUUUGUGCGUAGCGCUGUAAUUAUUGGAAACCUAUAUAAGGGAGCUGUAUGUUGCGGCAGCUGCGGAAAUACGUGAUUGGGCGUGUUUCACGCUUCUUAACCCGGCGUACGACCUCUGCUAUCGCGGGAUGGGUGGUGGAGAGGGAGGGGAGUAUAGAUGGAAGGGGAGAGGAGGAACAUUCUUCGAAAUGCACGCGUGUUUCUAAGCCUCUCGUGUUCAACAAAACAAAAAAAGCAGAAAGGAAGCACAAAGUGAAAUUCCAAGAAGCGAGGAAUAGAACAGAACACUAAGCAGCCACGAAUAAGCCUGUGUUAAUAAGGAUAUUUAAGGAUGUGGUAGGAAGAAGGCGGCGAGUGUACCGGCAUGGAUGCCAAGGAAAAUGUGAGCCGUGCGCUUACUGUACGCACCGCAGCUGUGUCUUGAACUACAGUUCACCUCGCUCGCAUUGGGGAUAAAAAUAAGUUUGAUGGGAAGGCGCUGCAGAGGAGAAAAGGCCGAAGGAGCAGAGAUGGGUUGUCAAGCUAUCAAUCACACAUCUCUCCGUUGUGUUAAGAAACGUGUUCCUAACAAUAAUAAAAGAAGAUUUCACGAUAGGGUUAAAGGUCAACCCGACAGAGACGGCAGGCGGGUUUCUGAUGCCAGUCUUAGCGUGCGGCGGCAAAAUAUUUCUUGGGCUUCUCUGUUCCGGCAUUCCAACGGUAUUUCUGCGCGGCAUUGUGAUUAGGUCGUUUGUGUUUUCGUUUUUUUUUUCUUUUCAGGAAAGGGAUUCGUAGAACGCAGCUCACGGGUUCCAAUGCAAGUUAACGACGAAUGUCUGAGGAUACUUGCCGAUGCCGAGGCCAGCCGAACGAGGUUCAAAUGGGAAAGGCACAAAGAAUGAACUCUCCCGUCUGUGGAUACCAUCUACUGAAGCUCCACGCGCCGGUAGGCUCACGGGUCAGAUCGAGAUCUCGAUGAUGGAACGAAGGGAGACCUGAGACGCCGCAGGGACCAAUCUGUUUACAGCAACCGACGAGCCACGACUGGGCGAUUGUCGUCGCGGAAAUUCUUUAUAGGAAAGCGGAAGUUCGUGCACACUGGCGGUCUAAUUCUUCGCCAGCACUGGGCAGUCAAGUGCACCGAACGGUUCCGUGGUCAGUGAAGGGGUCUGCGCCCUUCCAGCACUCGCAGUGAGGACCUUUGACCUCGCAAUGAAGUGGACUGUAUUCUGUCGCUCUCCGCGCACGCGAUGGCCCGUAGUGAUACAAUCGUACGACUUCCGGUUGUCUCCGUCGUGGUCUAACGCCACACGCAAGUAGGCGCAGCAGAUUUCCUGGUGUGUACUUACGCAUGUAUGUAUGGCCAAGCGUACAGCAAGCCUUGCGAACUAGGUCCGGCCACGCUUUCACAACGCGACAAAGUCUGGAAGCGAGAGUCGUGCAAAUGUCUUGGAAGUCGUGUCACGUAUACGUGUUACUAGCCUCUUCGCUACUGGGAAUUUGCGUUCUGCGCGCCGAAUAGCGCAAGGCCGCGUCACAUUUCGCGUUUAGCACGUUGAUGAAUUCAUGAUGAGCAGGCCGGAUGGAUGCGGCCAGGCUAUAUAGGAAGGCUUGGUGUCGUCCACGUUGGCACUCUUCACCAUAAUUUCACGUGCGUGCGAACACUGAGCACAUAGCCUCCUCCCUUUAAAUCAUUAAAACGGUCCUUGUCAAACGCGAAAUCUCUGUCGAGAAGCAAUACGGCGGUGCGGCGACACGGAUAUUUGUUCCUUGUUCCUAGCACACUCACUUUCGCAGCUGCCGGAACCAAAACACAGCCGGAACCAACCACCGUGAUAGCAGCAGAUCGCAAACAGGUCUUUUCUGCGCGCGCACACAGGCCUAUUCGCAGACGAAGUUGUUUUUACAUACAGUUAUAACUACAACAAGCCCACGGCCUUAUCGGCCUUACGAAUUUAUUUUCUGUUAAUACUAAAGUAUGAAGGAUAAAAGCAAAUAUCAGAGGGAGAGAGAGAGAGGGAGACAAAAGUGGAGGAAACACAAGGAGGUUCGCCAAUGUGAGUACCGGCUGGCUAUCCUGUGCUGGGGAAAAGGGCGAAGGUAAUAAAAGUUAAGAAGAAGAAAAAAAUGAGGAAAUUUCGCACAAUAUAGCGAUGCUACGCACUACCACACUCA